AAUCGGAGCCAAACCACCGGCCAAUUGGCCAAAAAACACUGCCUAAGUCCAGCGGCUCUGUUGUAGGUUUCCUCGAUUUUUGCCUCCGAUGAGGCCCUUCCCGGUUCUCGUUCGAUGUAGUUUUUAUACCACUGUGACCACCAUUCUUUUCUCUACAGGUUGAUCAGAGCAAAACACUAAAUCGCAACUAGCACCAGAGGAGCCGUCGUACCCGAGAGCUUCGUUGCCGGUAAGUCUCAAUUUUUUAGAAUUUUUUGGCCUACUGAGGGCCCUAGGGGUGU
rnacentral:lncRNA from 1 species